UUCAUGAGAGACACACAGAGAGAGACACAGAAACAAAGACAGAGGGAGAAGCAGGUUCCCUGUGAGGAGCCUUGUGCAGGACUCAAUCUCAGGACCCCAGGAUCAUGACCUGAGCUAAAGGAAGACACUCAACCAUUGAGCCACCCAGCUUUUGGUGAAGAUCCACUUCAGAAUUUCUCAGUGGCAUAUAAUCUGGAUGUGACCUUCCACCAGUUGGACACUCAGAGAGAAAUGGACAUGAGGCACUUGAUGACUUUCAGAUGCACUGCUUGACUUUCCAAGACAAUUGCACUGGCUAGAGAGAACUUAUGGAUUCUCUUUUCCAUGGAUUCUCAAUCCAAGAUGGUGACCAGAACGGCCUGCCUCAUUGCUGAACAAUAGCCAACAUCCUUCACUGACCGCAGCCCAUUUGUUGCUUCUCUUACUUAAUUGGCUUUACAUGGAAGUGCUUCAGCUGAAAGCAUGUCAUUUUUUUACGGAACUGUGCCAGAAAACAAUUAAUUUCAAAUACGCAGCUUUUAUUUUUGAUGCUGCAGUUCCUGUCUGAGGCAACAUUUAUUUAUGUUCCUGUCUGAGGAAGAUAACACACCAGCUGAAGGAACAAGCAAAUGCAGACCCCGGGGAAUAGCAUUGUUGUUGGUCGAACCCUCCUGGCUUUUGCAUCCUGCAGCUGGGGCUGCCUUUGCAAAAUGGUAGCACUGUACCCGGGAACUGGCGCUCUUCUUUCUUUCUUUUUUUUCAAGUAUAAUUUAUUAGCUAGUUCAUAAUCUGGCUAGAACCCGAACAACUGUGGGAAUGUUCCCAUGAAAUCCUACAUGCAAAGGGAUAUUAUUCGAAUUCCGUGGGGAUUUUCAUGCCCAUCUCAACCCCAGCUCUGUGGGGGGGAAAAAAAGUAGGAGAAAAAAGAAAAUGCAUGCUAUUUAUUCUGUUUAUGUCCCUCAGGAGCCUACUAAUGUUUCAUUUACCCUAUAUGUUUCUAAGUCUAUGUUUUAGUAUGCUCUACUUGGGUUCUGUUGCUUUUACUUAAACUUGCAAGGACACUGCAGAGAUGGUCCCAGAAGGACAACCACACAGCAGGGUAGGAGCCCAGGCACUUGUCAUAUUCCAGAUCCCCUCUGAGUGGUGGAUGAAGGCAGCUUCAAGAUGAUCCCUAUUCGGCAGGCAGCAUGAUCUGUUGCUGUCUCACUCUCCAUGGCUUGUGUGUGAGCUGGUAGCUUAAGAAUUAAGAAGGAGCAAAAGGUUAAUUUGCUUCCAUGACUUGUCUCUCAAACAUGCCAAAUAAAGAGCUUCACAACUACUUCUGCUUGGAGCUGAACAACUCACCUGUCUCUUUGACCAAGGUCCCCUGUCCUGGUCAUCUAAUUUAAAACUUUCCCUUUGGUGCAGGUGAAGCCCGCUGUUGUGAUUUGGCAAAAACAAGUGAUGUAGCUUGUGUUAAAGAUCCUUCCUAUUUUCUUAAGAAGCAUUUGGUGCUACUAAAAAUUACCAACUGUUUGUUUGCCAGUGACGUCAAGCAGGGGAAUAGGAAACACUGAUCAUUCUUGUUUCCUUGAGCAGUCCAAUCCCAUGUCAACAAAUGGGUUACCUCCUUCCCUCCCUCCCCAGGCUCCUCCCUCCUUUCUGCCCUUAGACAAACAUAAAGAAUUUAAAAAAUCACAACCAAUGAAAAGACGACUUAUGAGAGCAAUAUAUAAGUAAGAUCUCAAUACAGGCAACCUCAGUGACACUUACAUUGUUGUUCAAGUUGAACUGAAAAUUUGGCUUUGAGCUUCCUAGCGGUCAAAGCAAAAUAGAAUCAUCUUCAGUUGUGUGGGUCCCUUUGACCACACAGAGAACAUAUACCAGUUAGCCUAGAAAAGUAACAUAUUCUUGGCAUUUGUUCUGAGAGCUACCAUCUAUUGCUCUACAUAAUAUAUGAGCCAAGCAUCAUGAUGUAUGCAAAGCAAUAGCUUUAUUAUAAAAUUGAUCCUGGUUCUAAUAACUCCAAUUCUGUAGCAUUUCCAGGGAACACUGAAGCAUGCUUUAAGUGUGUGAUUUAGUAAAAGGAAUCCUGAGAGCCUAGACUGUUUCUACAAAUUAACCUAGCUUUCUGGUUCUCUCUCUU